rnacentral:rRNA from 1 species
AAGCGCGGUUAAGGUGCCAAGUCGACGCUCAUCAGACCCCACAAAAGGUGUUGGUUGCUCUAGACAGCAGGACGGUGGCCAUGGAAGUUGGAAUCCGCUAAGGAGUGUGUAACAACUCACCUGCCGAAGCAACUAGCCCUGAAAAUGGAUGGCGCUCAAGCGUCGCACCUAUACCGUGCCGUCGGAGCAGAUGCGAAGCUCCGACG